rnacentral:lncRNA from 1 species
GGUCUUUUAUAAGAAGCAUAAAAACUGGUCACAGCUGUUUUAGGGGAUUCCCACACUCUUUGGAAAGAGUUCUUUUACCUUUCCACCUCUAAAAACCUUCAGCUCCUGAGACAGGCAGCUCACAUCUUGACAUUUUUGUGCCUUAAAUCUUCUCUGUGUGUCAAAGCCUCUUCCUAGAUUCUGAACCCACUUUCAGAGAAUGUUUUGUGUCAAAUUCACACACAGUCUACACUGAGAGAAGCACUUGUACUAAGCUUAUUAUGAAACAGAGGGUCUGCCCGGUGAGGCAACCUGUCAGUACAUCUUUUGUGUUGAACACAGCAACGUACCCGCACACUCACAAUCGGGGUACCCUGGGAACAGAACCCAUCUACCUUUGCACUGGUGCCACCUGGCUGGCAGAGGACCAUGAAGUGUUUCAUGGUACCAUCAGAUAGACAAGUGUGUUCUGUGGUGGAAAGCUCUCUAGUUCACUGUGAUCUAGCUCAGCUCAGUCUGGGCUCCAAUUCCAGUUAUCCAGAGUGAGACUGGCUGCAGUUAACAUUAACUUUUAAAAGCAGAGAACAGCCAGCAAGCAUACUUCCAUUGAAGACCACUGUUAACAGAGAGGCAGACCCAGAACAUUACUUUUUUUAAGGAACAGAAAGGCCUAUUAUUUUACAAAAGUGGCAGGUUCCCUCUCUUAUAUAAAAUAUUACCAUCAAGUCUGAAAAGGUUUUGGACCUAUGUGUCAAAUGGCUCAUUCCCCAAAAGCAAUGGAACGUGCUGGAACAGUGACGGGAAGAGAAGCCCCAGAAACCCGAACAGAGGAAAUGAAGCGCCCGGAUCUGGCUCAUUCCAGGACAGUCUCAAAGCAUCAGCCGGAUUUUCCAGACAUGCCACCAAUCAGUGGGUCAAUAGGAGAUGCUUCCUCCAUCACCUUUAUACACUGAAGGGGGUUGCUCCCUGCAAGGGUCUGGGAGACACUGUGAGGCGCAAGGGAAAAUUAUCUUGGAUUUUUACAAACUUCUGUAUGAGGGAUACUUAGGGAAUAAGAGAAUGUGGGGGAAAAAAUGAUCAAAGUGUUUUGGGGAGGUAUCAGAAUGGUACAACGGAAUGAAUAAGGAAAUAAAUGUGUAGAUAACGUGCA